rnacentral:misc_RNA from 1 species
UUUGAAAUUCUGUAAGCCUUCCCUUCAAAAGGCAGAACUUAUCAUUAAUAAAAUAAGCAGAAUUUCCAUACAAAAGUGUUCUUAUGAGAUCUUCGGGUUAUCUUUGAAUGAGCCCUCAGUUAAUUCUUCACAAUAGGUUCCUCUAAGAAAGGCAGGAACGUGAAUAAGGGAAAGCCCAAGGCACUUGAGGCAAAUUUCCAGGUCCAUCAUCCAGUGACGAGAUCCAAUUCCAGGAAGCUUAACAAAGCACUUCACAUAUGACUUGGACAAUCCUCCUCCCACGAGGUGCCUUUUGAGAUGGAGUUAGGUCUAGUCCAUAUUAUCAACAAUAUCGAUACCACAUCAUGCAAUUGAUGGCAAUGAUAUACCCCUUUCACCUCAUCGUUUACUUGGAAACAAUUUGCGUAAGUCAGCCGAUCAUAGUUCAAUGCAUGAAAAGAGUUUCCAAGCACUAAUUUCAUUUCAUCAUCUCUUGUGCAGCUAAUAACAAUGAAUUUUCACAUUCAACAAGUGGAAGCUUCAAAAAGAAAGGCAACGUAUUCUGUAUGCAAUCAUAGUCAGAACCAUUUGACCACAAUUUAUGUGUACUAAGCAUAACUGAAAAAAGAAUAAGCUUUGGACUUGAACUCUUGAACUCAUCAUCAUAAAUAUCAAUCAGAUAUAGUCAAUAAUAUACUGAUCAGCUAUUGGCAUAUGUACCAUGUAGAAUGCAGGGUUCCGUAUGAUGGCCAAUAUUUGAUAUCAUUUCUUGGCAUAAGAUCCUAAGGGAAAACAAACUUACCUUUGUAAUAUACCAGUUGUCUUU